UUAAAGAGACAAAAAAAAAAUCUAUAUUUUGAACUGUACACAGGCUUGAUCGGCUGACAGAUGGUGAUUUCACCAAGGCUGAAGACUUCAUCAGGCUGAUGCAGGUUCUGUACAUCUGCACGCUCUGUGUUUCCACUGAAAAAAGCCCAACAGCCGGACAGAUCCUGCCGAUCAUCCAAAAGCUGGAGAAACACUUCGCUGCUGUAAAUGGAGACACAGCAUUUGUAGCUGACUUGAAGAAAAGGGUCUGGGGAAACAUGUCUACCCGGUACAAGAAUGAGGACAUCAGGUUCUUCUUGGAAGAAGCCACUGCCUUAGAUCCCCGCUUCAAGAAUAAGAUGGACAACAACACCGAAGUCUGGGAACGGAUCAAGGGGAAGUUGCUGGCAAACUCUGAAGAGUCGGUGGCAGUCAAUCAUGACCAUUCAGAAGAGGUUGGUGUGAUGCAGGGCGAGGGAAACCAGGAAGGUGUGAAGACUGAGAGCGAGGAGGAAGAGGAGAAUCAGCCUCCUCCUUCCAAACAAUCGAAAAAGUCUCCACUGGAGGAGCUUUUUGCUGAGGAGGAUGCCAUGAAGAGGACCUCACAAGAGGGGUUGAUGUCCAUGGAAAGUCGUGCUGAAAGGGAGAUCCAGACGUACCUGGAAACGCCACCAAUCAUCACAUCGUCUGACCCUGCAGCCUGGUUCUGGACCCAGACACAAACUUAUCCUUUACUGUCAUGUCUGGCCUUCUCAUAUUUAUGUGUCCAGGCCUCCUCAACACCUAGUGAACGGGUGUUUUCUACUGCAGGAAACACAAUCUGUGCGGAACGGUCGCGCUUACUGCCUGAGAAGGCAGACAUGAUAAUCUUCCUAAACAAGAACUGUUGUUAAUGAUUUGUCACAACUGCGCCAGGGUUUGAGUUUGUUUUAUUUUGUUACAUAUACAUCCACCUGGGCUGCAGCUCUUUGCUUUUUAGACUGCUGCCAACUUGUGUCACUUCAGCAGAAUUCAGUUAUAGUUACAGUUAGGGACCCUCGGCAAUGUGAAUAAAUAUAAUGGCCUGUGUAAAGGCUUUUUCA
rnacentral:lncRNA from 1 species